ACGAACGCUGGCGGCGUGCUUCACACAUGCAGGUCGAACGGUGAAGCGCCUUCCUUUUUGGUGGGUGUGGAUGAGUGGCGAACGGGUGAGUAACACGUGAGUAACCUGCCCCCUUCUUCUGGAUAACCGCAUGAAAGUGUGGCUAAUACGGGAUAUUCUGGGUCUGUCGCAUGAUGGGUCUGGGAAAGAUAUUGUUUCGGUGGGGGAUGGGCUCGCGGCCUAUCAGCUUGUUGGUGGGGUGAUGGCCUACCAAGGCGGUGACGGGUAGCCGGCCUGAGAGGGUUGACGGUCACACUGGGACUGAGACACGGCCCAGACUCCUACGGGAGGCAGCAGUGGGGAAUAUUGCACAAUGGGCGCAAGCCUGAUGCAGCGACGCCGCGUGGGGGAUGGAGGCCUUCGGGUUGUGAACCUCUUUCGCCAGUGAAGCAGGCCUGCCUCGUUUGUGGGUGGGUUGACGGUAGCUGGAUAAGAAGCGCCGGCUAACUACGUG
rnacentral:rRNA from 1 species